CUGACAGCCACCGUGCGUUUCUUUAGAGCUUGAUCCCACAGUGCCCAGGGAGCAGCUCGAAGACAAAGGAGUUCAGUCUUGUGUUUAUUCCACUGUCCUUCUUGCCAUUAGUUGAGUAUCUUUUUAAGAAUGUGAUUUUGAUGAAGCCUGGUUUAAUGGCAACUUUGAUUUCAAGGUCUUCUGGAAGUGUUUUCAGGAGCUCAGAGACUUCGUUUUCUGAAGGGUGAGAGGAGAGAGGCGGAAAACAAAGGGUUCCUUCCGCCCGCCUGUGGAAUCUGCGCGUGGUAGCUGAGUGAAUCGCUGAGGUUGGAGCAGGAUGUCUGGAAGCAGUUAGUCCUCAGUUAGAGGCAAACGACAUUUAGACCAAACUGUGGGCAAAGGAAAUAUAUACCCUUCAUGUUUUGAAGAAUAACCAUCUUUCAAAUUGCCAACUCAGUAGUUAUUUCUUCACAUAACCAAAACUCAAGAAUUCCAUUUCUCUCAAGAAAAGCAGGACGUAUUUACUGUUUUUCUUUUGUACUUAAAACAUUGUCUUUAAUUGUAGGCACAGUUUUCUAUGCCAGCAUAUUUUUUAGUUUAAAAAUAAAUUGCUGAAACAGUCAUUGUGGCGGUCAGA